GAUGAACGCUGGCGGCGUGCCUAAUACAUGCAAGUCGAGCGAACAGACGAGGAGCUUGCUCCUCUGACGUUAGCGGCGGACGGGUGAGUAACACGUGGAUAACCUACCUAUAAGACUGGGAUAACUUCGGGAAACCGGAGCUAAUACCGGAUAAUAUAUUGAACCGCAUGGUUCAAUAGUGAAAGACGGUUUUGCUGUCACUUAUAGAUGGAUCCGCGCCGCAUUAGCUAGUUGGUAAGGUAACGGCUUACCAAGGCAACGAUGCGUAGCCGACCUGAGAGGUGGACCGGCACAACUGAACUGAGGACACGGCCCAGACUCCAACGGAGGGAGGCGGAAGGAAACUUUCCGCAUGGGCCGAAGGCUGGCGGGGCCAACGCCGCGGGGUGGAUAAGGUCUUCCGAUUCGUAAACCUCGUUAAUAGGGAAAAAACAAAUGUUAAGGAAACAAUCACCGCCUUAACGUUACUAAAUAGAAAAGCACCGCCAACCUACUU
rnacentral:rRNA from 1 species